GCAGACACAUUCCAGCCAAUCAGCAGCAGACCCUCCCUCCCAGACCCUCCCACCUCCUGGACAGCAUCCAUUUUACAUUCAUUGUGAAGCUGCAUUCUUAGUGAGCUGUCCAGGAGGUGGGAGGGUGUGGGAGGGAGGGUCUGCUGCUGAUUGGCUGGAAUGUGUCUG